rnacentral:rRNA from 1 species
UUGGAGGGCAAGUCUGGUGCCAGCAGCCGCGGUAAUUCCAGCUCCAAUAGCGUAUAUUAAAGUUGUUGCAGUUAAAAAGCUCGUAGUUGAAUUUCGGGGUUAGUAGAUUGGUCAUGCCUCUGGUAUGUACUGGUCUUACUGAUUCCUCCUUCCUGAUGAACCGUAAUGCCUAUUUAUUUGGUGUUGCGGGGUAAUUUGGACUGUUACUUUAGAAAAAUUGAGUGUUUAAAGCAGGCUCACGCUUGAAUACAUUAGCAUGG